GGACGCGCACACGGACGGCCCGCCUAGCCCCGAAGGCGGGGGUAGGGUUGGCAAAGAGAAUCAAUCGGCUCCAUGGAGAAGAUCACCCUCCAGUCGCAUGAGGUGCUCACGGCACAGAAGGAACAGCCUGAGACGAUGACUCAAAGAAGACGUAAGAGACCGUUCCUGCUCUAGGGAAGCAGGGGUCAGGUGGUUGUUGUUUUUUUUUUAAACAACUUUCAGGGGGUUUCCAAGAAAGAGGAGUGCCAACAGGCAUGCACAGGGCCAGAGCCGUGAGAAAGCCACUCCUGCCUGCCAGGCAGAUGAGAGCAAUCCCGGACGGGUCGCCCUUGCCGGUCAGCUGGCAACCACUGUGGUUUUCAGGUCGAUACCAGAAUCGAAUGGGAGGACAGAUGAGAAAGCCAUCUGAAACACAGGCAUGCUAGCGCGGUACGGAAGCCUGAGGCCCUAUCAGCAGAGACUGCACAGUCCUGGAAAACCCUGCCUGCCCGGUGCAGCAGACUCCUUGCCUUUCUGCAAUCAUGCCUCAGCUGCCGGCAUGUCUGCUGCCACAGCCCCGCAGCCUGGGAGGGGGCCCCACUCCCCGGGGCUUCGUGUGGCAGGUGGCUCAUUCUCCAGGCCUCCCCAGGGCUCUGGCCACCAGGUUCUCAUGCCAAGAAGGAGAAGGCCUUAGAAGCCCUGGCUGGUGUGGCUCAGUGGAUUGAGCGCUGGCCUGUGAACCAGAAGGUCGCCA